rnacentral:rRNA from 1 species
UACGUAGGGGGCAAGCGUUGUCCGGAUUUAUUGGGCGUAAAGAGCGUGUAGGCGGCCAGGUAGGUCUGCUGUGAAAACUCGAGGCUCAACCUCGAGAUGUCGGCGGAAACCGUCUGGCUAGAGUCCGGAAGAGGAGAGUGGAAUUCCCUGGUGUAGCGGUGAAAUGCGCAGAUAUCAGGAAGAACACCUAUGGCGAAGGCAGCUCUCUGGGACGGUACUGACGCUGAGACGCGAAAGCGUGGGGAGCGAACAGG